GAGAGAGAGGAGGGCGAACGAAUGCGGAACAGGACGAGGCCAUCGCUCUUCCUCUCUAUUGCUAUUCGUCGCAUGUUUCGAUCCUUGGUACAUCAAUAAAUACGAUUCCUCUUCGAAUUCCUCGCUCGCCAUCUCUUUCUCUCGUCCGAGCAUCGAAAGGUUCCGUUGCAAAGCGGAUCAUUGAACAGUUGUUACUCGUGCAUGAAUAGCGGCCAUCAUGAUGGGGUCAUUUCUUAGUAGGGGCUUGAUACUGGUUUUUGGGUAUGCUUACCCAGCUUAUGAGUGCUACAAGACCGUGGAAUUGAACAAGCCGGAGAUCGAACAGUUGCUUUUCUGGUGUCAGUAUUGGAUUUUAGUUGCAUCAUUGGCCAUCUUGGAGAGAUUAGUAGAUGUUUUCUUUUCAUGG